rnacentral:rRNA from 1 species
UACGGGGGGGGCAAGCGUUGUUCGGAAUUACUGGGCGUAAAGGGCUCGUAGGCGGCCAACUAAGUCAGACGUGAAAUCCCUCGGCUUAACCGGGGAACUGCGUCUGAUACUGGAUGGCUAGAGGUUGGGAGAGGGAUGCGGAAUUCCAGGUGUAGCGGUGAAAUGCGUAGAUAUCUGGAGGAACACCGGUGGCGAAGGCGGCAUCCUGGACCAAUUCUGACGCUGAGGAGCGAAGGUCAGGGGAGCAAACGGG